GGGCUGGCUUUAGCCCAGCUGUUCCUUCGAGUCUGGCUUACUAACCGCCCGCGCCCACUGGUCCGGUGGUUCGAGACCCGCGUGCGCACUCUCCAGUCCUUUA
ensembl:misc_RNA Vault Vault RNA